CUGGAGCAAAGCAAUCUGGGGAAGCUGAUUACUGAUCUUGGCUUCCUCUUGGGCUCUGCUGUCUCCCUUCUAUUUCUGCCAGCCAAGCUCUCAGAAAAGGUGUCUUGACCUGGCUUUGCUGACUUGGACUCUCUUUUGGUAAAGACUCAUAAUUUGGUAAGCACAUUUAUUAUAUUGUUUUGUUUGUUUAAUUGAAAAUUCUGGUUUGAUAGGUGAAAUUAAAGCAUCCAAUCAAGGGGAUCUAAGGAUCAUGACAAUCUCAUUCAUAAAGGAAAUUCUAAACAUAAAUACUCCGUAA